AAUCAGUGUUCUAGGGGUGGGAUAGGCAUCGUCCUGUUUGUGCAACCAUGCUGAAGUGAAUAUGCUUUUCUUGAAAUAUGAAUGUACAGGUUGAAAAAUAAAGUAAAUAUCAUGUGGAUACAGAAGAUUCUGCAAGAUCAGAUACUGUCACCAAGGCUGACCGAUUUCUUUUGGUGUUCAGAGUCUUUUGGGGUUUCUAGCACCAUUUGAAAUCGGUUACAAUGAAGGACAGAAAUCAGCGUUUCACAAGACCGGCCUCUGCUUUAAGGAACCUUUAUGUGAAUUGUAGAGAACCAGCAUGAACUUCUUCAGCAAUUUGAACUACAGUAGCUCGUCUGUUGGAUCGGACCACACGGGUCAGUCUUCUCUCCCUACGUGCAUCAAUGAGCUUUGGGCGCCCAUGACCCUGUUGCCGGUUUACCACUGUUCCUUCCUCAGACCACUUUUGAUAGAUACUGACCACGUGUGUUUUACCGCUGCACCACCUGAGCGGCACCGCCGAUUUAUUUUUUUUUUACCCAAAAGUACAAAAAACAUGUCAAGAAUGUGGUGUUGUUAAAAUGUAUUUCUCUGAAUAAAUUUGGUCCAAUUAAA